rnacentral:snoRNA from 1 species
CGUGGUGAUGACUUGGAAAUAUUCAAGCUCAACAGACCGUAAUGUAGGAUUUUUCCUAGUGGAAAGUCUUGCGUGUGUCGAUAAUCCCGCUGAACUGAGC